CCUACGGGAGGCAGCAGUGAGGAAUAUUGCACAAUGGGCGCGACCCUGAACCAGCCAAGUAGCGUGAAGGAUGACUGCCCUACGUGUUGUAAACUUCUUUUAUAAAGGAAUAAAGUGAGGCACGUGUGCCUUUUUGUAUGUACUUUAUGAAUAAGGAUCGGCUAACUCCGUGCCAGCAGCCGCGGUAAUACGGAGGAUCCGAGCGUUAUCCGGAUUUAUUGGGUUGAAAGGGAGCGUAGAUGGGUUGUUAAGUCAGUUGUGAAAGUUUGCGGCUCAACCGUAAAAUUGCAAUUGAUACUGGCAGCCUUGAGUACAGUUGAGGUAGGCGGAAUUCGUGGUGUAGCGGUGAAAUGCUUAGAUAUUACGAAGAACUCCGAUUGCGAAGGCAGCUUACUAAACUGCCACUGACAUUGAUGCUCGAAAGUGUGGGUAUCAAACAGGAUUAGAUACCCGAGUAGUC
rnacentral:rRNA from 1 species